UGUGGCUCAGUUGGUAGAGCAUGGUGUUUGCAAUGCCAGGGUUGUGGGUUUGAUUCCCUGACCA
rnacentral:tRNA from 1 species